rnacentral:rRNA from 1 species
AGGGAAUCUUCCGCAAUGGACGAAAGUCUGACGGAGCAACGCCGCGUGAGUGAUGAAGGUUUUCGGAUCGUAAAGCUCUGUUGCCAGGGAAGAAUGUCUUGGAGAGUAACUGCUCUAAGAGUGACGGUACCUGAGAAGAAAGCCCCGGCUAACUACGUGCCAGCAGCCGCGGUAAUACGUAGGGGGCAAGCGUUGUCCGGAAUUAUUGGGCGUAAAGCGCGCGCAGGCGGCUGUUUAAGUCUGGUGUAUAAUCCUGGGGCUCAACUCCGGGUCGCACUGGAAACUGGACGGCUUGAGUGCAGAAGAGGAGAGUGGAAUUCCACGUGUAGCGGUGAAAUGCGUAGAGAUGUGGAGGAACACCAGUGGCGAAGGCGACUCUCUGGGCUGUAACUGACGCUGAGGCGCGAAAGCGUGGGGAGCAAAC